rnacentral:rRNA from 1 species
CCUGGUUGAUCCUGCCAGUAGUCAUAUGCUUGUCUCAAAGAUUAAACCAUGCAUGUGUAGUAUGAGCGAAUUGGGCUGUGAAACUGAAUGGCUCGUUAAAUCCAGUUAUAGUUUGUUUGAUGGUAACUACUAUACCUGGAUAACCCGUAGUAAUUCUAGAGCUAAUCGUGCAACAAACCCGACUACUCGGAAGGGAUGCAUUUAUUAGAUAAAAGGUCGGCUUGAACUCGCCCGUUGCUCUGAUGAUUCAUGAUAACUUCGACGGAUCGCAUGGCCUUAGUGCUGUGACGCAUCAUUCAAAUUUCUACCCUAUCUCCUUUCGAUGGUAGGAUGGUGGCCUACCAUGGUGGUAGCGGGUGACCCAGUGGGGUUGAUUCGGAGAGGAGCCUGAAAGCGGCUACCCACAUCGAGGAAGGCAGCGGUAUAAUUACCCAAUCUAUUGCGGGGAGUAGUGACAAUAAAUAACAAUGCGGGGCUCCACUGAGUCAGUGGUGGGUCAAAAUUACAAUCUAAAAUCCCUUAGCGAGGAUCCAUUGGAGGAGCAAGUCUGGUGCCAGCUGCAGCGGUAAUUCAACUCAAUGGCGUAUAUAUUUAAGUUGUUGCAGUUAAAAAACAAAUGGUUGAACCUUAGGAUGGGCCGGUCCAUAUGGUGAGCACGGUGGCUUGUCUCUUCAUGCAUUGCACCUUUGUAUAACUGGCGAAUUGGGUAUCUCCGGCUAUUACUGAAGAAUUAUGCUUCUCAAAAACAAAGCCUACGCUCUGUAUACAUUAGCAUGGGAUAACAUCAUGGGAUUUAGAUCCUAUUGUGUGCAGCCGGGAUAGGAUAAUGAUUAACAGGGACAGUGAGGGGCAUUAAAUCAUUUCAUAGUCAGAGGUGAAAUUCUUGGAUUUAUGAAAGUGAACAACUUUCGAAAACAUUGCCAAGGAUAUUUUCAUUAAUCAAACGAAAGUUGGGGGCUCGAAGGCGAUCAGAUACCGUCCUAGUCUCAACCAUAAGCGAUGCGACCAGGGGAUCUGCGGAUGUUGCUUUUAGGACUCAAGCUGGCACCUUAUAAAAUCAAAGUUUUUGGAUUUAGGGAGAUGUAAUUAGCAAGGCUGAAACUUAAAGGAAUGGCGGAAGGGCACCACCAGGAAGUGGAGCACAAACAAUUUACCUCAACCACGGAAACUUACCAGGUCGGACAUAAUGGGAUUGACAGUGAGGAAGCUCUUUCUUGAUUCUAUGGGUGGUGGUGCCUUGGCCGUUCUUAGUUGGUGGGCGAUUUGUCUGGUUAAUGGAUUGCGAGCGGGGCCUCUAGCCUGCUAACUAGCUUCGUGGGCAUCCCUUCAUGACGGCUUAGAGGACUGGCCGUUUAGGCGGGAAGUUUAGCAAUAACAGAUGAUUAUGCCCAUAGAUGUUACGGGCAUACCUUCACUGAUAUAUUCAGCGAGUUCACCUUGGCCCGACAGGCCGGGUAAUCUUGAAAUUUCAUGCAUUGAUGGGGAUAGAUCAUUCACAGUUGUUGGUCUUGGCGAAAUUCCCCUGAAGUAGCGGAGUCAUCGCUCGCGUUAAUACGUCCUGCCCUUUAUACACACCUUGUCGCUCCUACGUUGAAUGAUCGGUGAAGUGUUCCGGAUCAGCGGCGUGCGGUGGUUAGCCGUCUCUUGACGUCGAAGAUCCAUAAACCUUAUCAUUUAGAGGAAGGAGAAAUUAUAACAAAGGUUUCCGUAGUGAGGGAACCUGCGGAAG